rnacentral:rRNA from 1 species
AUUGAACGCUGGCGGCAUGCCUUACACAUGCAAGUCGAACGGCAGCACGGGAGCAAUCCUGGUGGCGAGUGGCGAACGGGUGAGUAAUAUAUCGGAACGUGCCCAGUCGUGGGGAUAACGUAGCGAAAGCUACGCUAAUACCGCAUACGAUCUAUGGAUGAAAGCGGGGGAUCGCAAGACCUCGCGCGAUUGGAGCGGCCGAUAUCAGAUUAGGUAGUUGGUGAGGUAAAGGCUCACCAAGCCGACGAUCUGUAGCUGGUCUGAGAGGACGACCAGCCACACUGGGACUGAGACACGGCCCAGACUCCUACGGAGCGAGCAGUGGGAAUUUUGGACAAUGGCGCAAGCCUGAUCCAGCAAUGCCGCGUGCAGGAUGAA